rnacentral:rRNA from 1 species
UACAGAGGUGGCAAGCGUUGUUCGGAAUUACUGGGCGUAAAGGGCGCGUAGGCGGCCUACUAAGUCAGACGUGAAAUCCCCCGGCUUAACCUGGGAACUGCGUCUGAUACUGGAAGGCUUGAGGAUGGGAGAGGGAUGUAGAAUUCCAGGUGUAGCGGUGAAAUGCGUAGAUAUCUGGAGGAACACCGGUGGCGAAGGCGGCAUCCUGGACCGGCAUUGACGCUGAGGCGCGAAAGCCAGGGAGCAACGGG